GACGAACCGUGCAAACGUUGUUCGGAAUCACUGGGCUUAAAGGGCGCGUAGGCGGGCCAGCCAGUCUGUGGUGAAAGCCUCCAGCUUAACUGGAGAAGUGCCGUGGAUACUGCUGGCCUCGAGGAGGAUAGGGGCAUCUGGAACGGUCGGUGGAGCGGUGAAAUGCGUUGAUAUCGACCGGAACUCCGGUGGCGAAGGCGGGGUGCUGGGUCCUUUCUGACGCUGAUGCGCGAAAGCCAGGGGAGCAAACGGG
rnacentral:rRNA from 1 species